GAUGAACGCUGGCGGCGUGCUUAACACAUGCAAGUCGAGCGAGAAGUUUUGAAAAGAUUCUUCGGAUGAAAUUUAAAAUGGAAAGCGGCGGACGGGUGAGUAACGCGUAGGCAACCUGCCCCAUACAAAGGGAUAGCAUUUGGAAACGAAUAUUAAUACCUUAUGAAACUUAACUAGUGCAUGCUAGGUAGGUCAAAGAUUUAUCGGUAUGGGAUGGGCCUGCGUCUGAUUAGCUAGUUGGUGAGGUAACGGCUCACCAAGGCGACGAUCAGUAGCCGACCUGAGAGGGUGAACGGCCACAUUGGAACUGAGACACGGUCCAAACUCCUACGGGAGGCAGCAGUGGGGAAUAUUGCACAAUGGGGGAAACCCUGAUGCAGCAACGCCGCGUGAACGAUGAAGGCCUUUGGGUCGUAAAGUUCUGUUCUAGGUGAUGAAAACUGACAGUAACCUAGGAGAAAGCCCCGGCUAACUCCGUGCCAGCAGCCGCGGUAAUACGGAGGGGGCAAGCGUUAUCCGGAAUUAUUGGGCGUAAAGGGUACGUAGGUGGCCUUUUAAGCGUAGGGUAUAAGGCAAUGGCUCAACCAUUGUUCGCCCUAUGAACUGGAAGGCUUGAGUGCAGGAGAGGAAAGCGGAAUUCCUAGUGUAGCGGUGGAAUGCAUAGAUAUUAGAGGAACAUCAGCGGCGAAGGCGGCUUUCUGGACUGCAACUGACACUGAGGUACGAAAGCGUGGGGAGCAAACAGG
rnacentral:rRNA from 1 species